GAAAGUAAACAAGGGCGCAUGGAGGAUGCCUAGGCUCUCGGAGGCGAAGAAGGACGUGAUAAGCUGCGAAAAGUUACGGUAAGGCGCAAAUAGCCCUAGACCCGUAAAUAUCCGAAUGGGGCAACCCGGCCAGCAAUGGCCAUACCGCCAAGCGGUAAGCCAACGCGGGGAACUGAAACAUCUAAGUACCCGCAGGAAAAGAAAAUAACAAUGAUUCCGCCAGUAGUGGCGAGCGAACGCGGAACAGCCCAAACCACUCGUGUUACGGCACGGGUGGGGUAGAAGGAUCCACGAUACGGCAAGAAAUAAGUUAGCGGAAUACGAUGGAAAUCGUAGCCAAAGACGGUGACAGCCCGGUACGCGAAAACGGACAGAAGCCCAGUGGACACCUGAGUAACCCAGGACACGAGAAAUCCGGGGCGAAUCAGCGGGGCCCAUCCCGUAAGGCUAAAUACUCCCGAGAGACCGAUAGCGAACCAGUACUGUGAAGGAAAGGUGAAAAGCACCUCGAACAGAGGAGUGAAAUAGUCCCUGAAACCGUCUGCCUACAAGCGGUCGGAGCAACGUAAGUUGUGACGGCGUGCCUUUUGCAUAAUGAACCUACGAGUUACUUUCUCCGGCAAGGUUAAGGGCUUCAGGCCCGGAGCCGAAGCGAAAGCGAGUCUUAAUAGGGCGUGAUAGUCGGAGUGAGUAGACGCGAAACCAAGUGAUCUACCCUUGGUCAGGAUGAAGGUUGGGUAACACCAACUGGAGGUCCGAAUGGGUAUACGUUGAAAAGUGUUCCAAUGAACUGAGGGUAGGGGUGAAAGGCUAAUCAAACUUGGAGAUAGCUCGUACUCCCCGAAAUGCAUUUAGGUGCAGCCUUUAUUUAGUAUAGCAUGAGGUAGAGCGACUGAUUGGAUGCGAGGGCUUCACCGCCUAUCAAGUCCAGAUAAACUCCGAAUGCGUGCUAUAUAUUGAUAAGGAGUGAGGGCGCGGGUGCUAAGGUCCGCGUCCGAGAGGAGAAGAAUCCAGACCAUCAGCUAAGGUCCCCAAAUAACAGUUAAGUUGAACUAACGAAGUCGGACUGCAGAGACAGCUAGGAUGUUGGCUUGGAAGCAGCCAUUCAUUUAAAGAGUGCGUAACAGCUCACUAGUCGAGGAGUCCGGCGUGGAUAAUACUCGGGCAUAAACUGUUUACCGAAGCUAUGGAUGUAGAAAUACAUGGUAGGGGAGCAUUCCAACGGCGUCGAAGGUGAAGGAUGACCUUUGCUGGAGCUUUUGGAAACGCAAAUGUAGGUAUAAGUAACGAUAAAGGAGGUGAGAAACCUCCUCGCCGAAAGACUAAGGUUUCCUGAUCAACGUUAAUCGGAUCAGGGUAAGUCGGGACCUAAGGUUAAGCCGAACGGCGAUACCGAUGGAAGAAUGGUUUAAUAUUCCCAUACUACUUUAUGGAGCGAUGUGGAGACGGAGAAGUGAAAGUCCUGCCAUCUGACGGAAUAGGUGGUUGAAGAGUGUAGAUGUAGAUUCCUGUAGGCAAAUCCGCAGGGAGAGUCGACCUUGACAGUAUGCCGCGUGCUUGCACAAGGCAAAAUGGACGUAAUCAGGCUCCCAAGAAAAUCCGCUAAGCAUAUUCAUAAAGUACCCGUACCGUAAACGGACACACGUAGUUGGGUUGAAAAUACUGAGGCGCUCGAGUGAUUCACGGUUAAGGAACUAGGCAAAUUGACCCUGUAACUUCGGGAUAAAGGGUCCCUACUGAGAGGUAGGGCGCAGAGAAUAGGUCCAGGCAACUGUUUAACAAAAACACAUGGCUGUGCGAAAUAGAAAUAUGAAGUAUACAGCCUGACACCUGCCCGGUGCUGGAAGGUUAAGAGGAGAGCUCAUCGCAAGAGAAGGCUUGAAUUGAAGCCCCAGUAAACGGCGGCCGUAACUAUAACGGUCCUAAGGUAGCGAAAUUCCUUGUCGGGU
rnacentral:rRNA from 1 species